rnacentral:rRNA from 1 species
UACGUAGGGUGCGAGCGUUGUCCGGAAUUAUUGGGCGUAAAGGGCUCGUAGGCGGUUUGUCGCGUCGGGAGUGAAAUCCACUGGCUUAACUGGUGGCUUGCUUUCGAUACGGGCAGACUGGAGGUAUGCAGGGGAGAAUGGAAUUCACGGUGUAGCAGUGAAAUGCGUAGAUAUCGUGAGGAAGACCAGUGGCGAAGGCGAUUCUCUGGGCAGUUCCUGACACUGAGGCACGAAGGCUAGGGGAGCAAACGGG